AGGCUGAGUAGCCAAGUGGUUGAAGGCAUUGGUCUGCAAAACCGACAUCGUGAGUUCGAUUCUCACCUCAGCCUU
rnacentral:tRNA from 2 species